GCCUCGGAAUGCCAGCCUUGGUCCGGUCGUCUCCGGGGCGCUGGGCUCCUGGAAGUGGGGGCAAGUCCUCGUUGCUGAGGUGGAGUUUUACUGAAGUUGGCGUGAGACCUGGGGACACGCGGGGACGGGCUGACCAGGGGGGAGGCGCCAGGCUGAGCAGCGCUACUUGGCCACACGCUUUCUACAGUGCUGGCUGUGGACAAGUUCUCCUCCCCGCCAGCUCACCCAGGGAGACUCAGCACGCAGAAACGAGCCUUUCCCGUCGGGCAGCGCGGCAGAGCAGCCACUAAGGAUUCUUGUUGACCAGAGCGUCCCUGAGAAGCUACUGUGCGAAGCCCUGCUGACGAAGGGGCAGAGCAGGGCCCUGGUGGGCUUGCAGGGCAGUGAGUCCAGAGGCACCUGCUGAACCCCAGGGUGUGUCCCCAGUGCCUCCCGACACUCGGGGGCCACGGGUGUCCUGUGACAAAAUGCUUCUGCUGGAGAGCCACUGAGUUAGGGUGGAUGCUGGCAAGUUUAGAGGUUUGAAUCUCAGCUCUGUCAAUUUGUAGGGGUGGGGGCAAUCUCAGGCAAACCUUGGUUUCCUGACAAUAACAGGAUGUCGGGAGAAGAAAAUAGACGCUAUGAGACAGAUCAAGCGGAGUAUCUGCCCCACAGUAGGCACUUAAUAAACGUUCACUUCCCCCACAGACGGACUUGCGCCUUCUUCUGGCCACCACGCCAUUGCAUGCGCAUGCCUGAGCCUCCCACCCAUCUUUUUGCUGUCGAGGGUGCAAGAAGAGUGAAUUUACUUCUGGGGCAGCAUUUACUGGAGCCUGGGACAGGCGGGGAGAAAGCAACAAGGAAUAAACUUUUCUGGGGCUCAGGGUGACAUUUUCCAAAGAAAUAACACGGGAGGCUGGUGCCCAACGCCCGUUACUCCUGCCCUGUAACGUCGUGAGUGGAAAAGGCUCUGGGAGCAGGCCUGGGCCCCAGCUCCUAUUUGCAACGUCCUCUUCUCGUUUUUUAUAUCAUUAUAAAUGUUUUAAGUUGAUAGUCAUUACAUAAG
rnacentral:lncRNA from 1 species